GGACUCUCCAAAAAUUGCAGCCGCACCCGUGUUGGAUCCUCUAAAAAGAGGAUCUGACAUGCACCCAGUAAAAUGUUUGAAGAGGCCGAGCAACAUAGCUUUUAACAUAUUAAGAAAAGACAUUCCCUUGGUGUUAAUCACUUAUUCCCCAAAUUAUUUUUCAAGACCUUAUACUAAACAUCAAUUAAGAUGGGCAUUAUGGUAAAGUAUUCAUAUUAAUCACUUAUUCCCCAAAUUAUUUUUCAAGACCUUAUACUAAACAUCAAUUAAGAUGGGCAUUAUGGUAAAGUAUUCAUA
rnacentral:misc_RNA from 1 species